AUUGUUCCUCACUUCAUUUUUGUGUUUCGUUUUGGCUCUCUCUUCUCUCUCUCUCUUUGUGUGGUUUUGAACAAAAGGAAACAAAAAAAGAAGGGAGAAGACCAAAAAAAGAACAAAAAAAUCUCAACAAACGAAGAAAACAAAAAAAAAAGAAAUUUUUCGUUAAUUCCUCGAGACCAAAUGAACUGGGAAAAAUGAGAAUGAUUUAUUAUUCGGUUUU
rnacentral:ribozyme from 13 species